UACGUAGGUGGCAAGCGUUGUCCGGAUUUACUGGGUGUAAAGGGCGUGUAGGCGGGACUGCAAGUCAGAUGUGAAAUCCAGGGGCUCAACCCUUGGCCUGCAUUUGAAACUGUGGUUCUUGAGUGAUGGAGAGGCAGGCGGAAUUCCUUGUGUAGCGGUGAAAUGCGUAGAUAUAAGGAGGAACACCAGUGGCGAAGGCGGCCUGCUGGACAUUAACUGACGCUGAGGCGCGAAAGCGUGGGGAGCAAACAGGAUUAGA
rnacentral:rRNA from 1 species